GGGUGCACAUGGGCAGAAUGUUGAGCUGCUACAUGCUGCUGGGGAAUUAAUACUUUGCUCUUCAUUACCAGAGAGGAAAAGACACGUGCCAAUAAAGGGACGUCGGAUCCCGAGUCCAGAGGAA